GAUGAACGCUGGCGGCGUGCCUAAUACAUGCAAGUCGAGCGAACAGACGAGGAGCUUGCUCCUCUGACGUUAGCGGCGGACGGGUGAGUAACACGUGGAUAACCUACCUAUAAGACUGGGAUAACUUCGGGAAACCGGAGCUAAUACCGGAUAAUAUAUUGAACCGCAUGGUUCAAUAGUGAAAGACGGUUUUGCUGUCUCUUAUAGAUGGAUCCGCGCCGCAUUAGAUAGUUGGUAAGGUAACGGCUUACCAAGGCAACGAUGCGUGGCCGACCUGGGAGGGUGAUCGGCCACACUGGAACUGGGACACGGUCCAGACUCCUACGGGAGGCAGCAGUAGGGAAUCUUCCGCAAUGGGCGAAAGCUUGACGGAGCAACGCCGCGUGAGUGAUGAAGGUCUUCGGAUCGUAAAACUCUGUUAUUAGGGAAGAACAAAUGUGUAAGUAACUAUGCACGUCUUGACGGUACCUAAUCAGAAAGCCACGGCUAACUACGUG
rnacentral:rRNA from 1 species